AUAAAUUCUGUGCUUUUUAUAUCACAGUACGUUCAUAUUUGAUAAAUUCAACAUUUCAAAGUUUGCUACAAUAUGCCAUUGAAGACCCAUCAAAUCAGUAUCGCACCCAAGGACAGUAGAAUCAGUCUAGUAAUAGAUGACGGGCGUCAACGGCAACCAACGAAGCCAAAGAAAAUAUAAUAGAUUUUUUUCUGAACCAACACUCGCCUUUGACAAAUGUUUGUUGAGGAACGAGUGUAUAGCGAAUAAAAAGGAAAAUACUUCGAUGACUUCCAAGUAAUCGUAUAGGCAGUGGAUUAGUGCAAAAUUGGCGAAUAAAAUUAGAAUAAAUUUUCAGUUUAGUUUUAGAUGUUUAUUUAUUUUCAAGUCAGAUUUCAGCGACAUUAUUUAACGUGCAAAAUCCAUCAUCAAAUCGUUUUCGGCUGACCGACAUGACCCUCAUGAUAACUAGCACAGAUCCUUUCCGUCUGCCAUAGGUAGACGAACUGCCUAUUAUCAGUGCGCUUGAGUUCCCUCGUUUCGGAUGAGGCAAGAUUUAUACUUCGAGUUAAAUUUAUACCCGGCAGAUAGUUGGCUCUUUUGGCUGUUAUUAUUCCACGCUAUUCAGGCAGCCAAACAGCCACGGCAGUGCAAGAAGAAUCACUUGGAAAAGAUAUCCAUUUUCGAGGACGAACAAAUUCUUUUGAAGCAACUUCCAAAUUUAUGUACCACCACCAAAGGCGCACAACAAAAGCUAGUCCCCACCCCGCACUUCGGGGGUCCACGUAGAAGGAAAUCCCGAAGCACAAAUCCAGCCCGCUCGGGGUGCUUGCGUUGGAACCGGGAGAAGUCUCACCGUUGCCUGCUGCCAGGAAGAGUGGGUAUUCGUUGAGCUCUACGUGAAAGAAAAAUAUGUUUGGUGCCCGGGACCGACAACAACUACGUUGGUGACGGCGACGACGACGAGGACGAGAACGAGGACGACGAAGGCAACGCCAGUGACGAGGAAGGUGACGGUGA